AGAGCGGAAGGGGACACUUCCUGCUAAUUUUUCAAAUUAAAAGCCUGCUGGUAACAAGAGGAUAUCCCGUGACCUGCUGGAUGGUUUUAAAUGUAAAUCUGUGCAUAAAGUGUUGCGUUUCAUUGAUGGUAGCUUAACAGUGACUGAAAAUAAUUAGGAACUGAAAACAGCAUGUGUGUUUAAAAAGAGAAUCUCUUUUGUUUAGUGAAUCUGGAAAUAGUGCUGUAGAAAUGUACAUUAUACUGAAUUUAUCAAGACAACAGGGAAACAUAAAGGCAUCAGAAAACAGGGAGGCUGCUUACUAGAACAUGAUAAUGAUACAUAAAAGGUCUGGUUUUCUCUGUAGUCGAGGCAAAUUAAGGCCCCGUUAUUAUUUUGCAGUUACGGUCUAGAGAAUAAUACAAUUUUGGUCACCCUUUAAUACCCAACUGUAUACAGUGUGUUUGACAACCCAAUCACAUACAGUUUUCUGACAUGAAAGCCAAGUUAAGCUUAACUUAAAUCUUAAUUUGUUAAGUGUUGCAUCCACUAUCAAGCUUGUAUAAAAACACCCAAAUAAGUUGGUCUCAUUACCGUCACGUAUUUACGCUCAAAUGCUAAUAAUCAAAAUCAGCUUUUUUAAAAGAAUGGUAAAGUUGUAUCAGGAUCAUAAAACAGAAA